AUGAAGCAAAUUGCUAAAGGUCUGGAGGUAGAUGUUUCAAGUCAGAGGAAAGGAAAUUGUGGAAGAAAGACGAAAGACAUCAAUCUAGAGCAAAUCCCUACCAUCCCACUGAACAGGAGGUCUACUAUCAGGUCACUGGCUUGGCAACUCGGAUGCAGCCCUACCACACUACAUAGGAAGUUCAUGCUU
rnacentral:rRNA from 1 species